rnacentral:rRNA from 1 species
ACUCAAAUGAAUAGACGGGGACCCGCACAAGCGGUGGAGCGUGUGGUUUAAUUCGAGGCUACGCGAAGAACCUUACCAAGGUUUGACAUCCUUGUCGCCGACCUAAGAAAUUAGGUCUUCAUUUAGUUGGACAAGUGACAGGUGAUGCAUGGCCGUCGUCAGCUCGUGUCGUGAGAUGUCAGGUUAAGUCCUUCAACGAGCGCAACCCUCGUGAAUAGUUGAAUUUUUCUAUUCAGACUGCCUCGGUAACGGGGAGGAAGGAGGGGAUGACGCCAGGUCAGCAUGUCCCUUACACCUUGGGCUACACACACGCUACAAUGGCCGGUACAAUGGGCUGCCAAGUCGCAAGACGGAGCCAAACCCAUCAAAACCGGUCCAAGUUCGGAUUGUCGGCUGAAACUCGCCGGCAUGAAGCUGGAAUCGCUAGUAACCGUGGGUCAGCACACUACGGUGAAUACGUUCCCGGGUCUUGUACACACCGCCCGU